rnacentral:lncRNA from 1 species
UAUUUGCAAUCGAAACACGCAUACAAUACUUGUACGAAGAUGAGCCCAGAGAAUACAACAAUCUAGAUGAAAAUAUUACAGAGGUCCCAGUUUAAUUAUUACAAACCGAGUUCAAAUCAUAAAGAAGUUCAGAGUUCAAAAGCAGCGGAAAAAAACGGUAGGCAAACAACGAUACAUGAUAUCAUGGUGAAGCCAUCCAUGACAUCACUCACCAUGGUCCUCGCCCACCGAGGACGAGUCCCACUCAACCGUCCAUCCUGGAGGGAGCUGCUAUGGCCAAGUCACACUAGCAACCACAUCAUCAAUGUCAUUACCUGAAAAUAUAGGCACAAGCAAGGCUGAGUAUACUAAUACUCUACAAGACAUACCCGUUAGGUGGUAUCUAAUCCACCGACUCCUAGACAUGCAAGGCUUUUUGGCUGAGGGGUUUGUUUUUCCUCAAAGCUUCUAAAGUGGGUCAUUGCUUUCAAGUUUUAGCAUCAAAUUCUAAUUAAUUAACCAAUCUAGGUAAGCACCUAUUCUAAGCAAGCAUGGUAGAACAAGCAAUUUAAUCAAGCCUUAAUAUUAAGCAUCAUCAUUGUUCAUCUUCUUACUCAGUGCAGCAUAGCGAUCAAGCAGUCUCAAUAUCUGCGAGAAAUAGACGAUUCGAAUCGAAUUUCUUAACCUUGCAAGGUGGACCUAAACACAUGACAUGUGCGUACCGCGACGGGUUCACACAUUAUCAACGGUUCCCAUCGAUCCCCAGCGCAGGUCCAGAGCCCACUUCCCUUGGAUACAAGGCCCCGUCGGUCCCGGAACGACGUCGUGCUAUGGCCGUACUUAUACCCACAUGAUGCACCAAGGGAAACCAUUUCUAGAGAGAGUGGGGUAAAGGUUCACGUCCCGGUUCAAUUAGGUACUAGGCUUCCUGAUUACCAUCUUCUCAGUAUGUGUUUAGUACGUUCAAAGACAUGACCACGAACACCGACACGGUUCGACCUUAGCAAUUUCCUCUACACAGACGGGGCAUCAACCAUUUCAGGAACAUCGCACAAAGCCCCGCCCAUCAUCCUUAUGAUUCCAACAUAAGUAAACAGGAAACUCUUAUAGUUGGCGAGUGAUAGGAAAUCACACGACUUUUACCAUGUCCUUAUUUAGCCUAGCAUUAGAAUCAAUUUUAAUACGGAGAUAUAAAAUAAACAAAAUAAACUACCAUUAAGCACAUUAAAUCCAAAAGGCUUGUAAAACAACCAGAAAAGUAUCAACAUCAUUUUUUCUAGAUUUUAUGCGGAAAACAAUGGCUAAUAGAAGUGAUUUCAACAUUUUAUCAAUUUUCCACUAUUUAUCAUGCAAAUAACAAAAUUAAGACAACAAACAAGCAUUAUAUUUAAAACAGCAUGAAAAACAAAGAUUCCACAAACACAAGUUGCAUGUCUGAAACAUAAAUGAUAAAUGGAAGCUAACAUAAUUAGUUUCACCAUUUUGGACCACCAUAUGAUUUAUAAAGCAUUUAUUGACUUUUAGACAAAAUAAAUAAUACAGAAUAGUAACAUGCACUCAAACAUUUUUGAAAUAAACUAGAUAUGAUUAGGAACUCAACAAAAGAAUAUUCACAUAUUUAUCAUUUUUCUACAAUUUUCUAGGUAUUUUCCAAUUUCGCAGCAAUUUAAAUCUAGGAAAUAAAUCAAAACCGAGGUCAACUUGCCAAACAAACCUCAAAUCUAAAGAUUCUCGCAUAUAGGACCCUAAAAUUUCCCAUAACCCCCCUCUCUUUCUUCUUCUUCUCCCACACAGCACACACAUCCACACAUAGAUAGGCACGGGCGGCGCGGCCGGCUCUACCCAACUAACGAGCUUGCAGGCGUGGGAGAGAGGAGGAAGGAACCACUAACAAGUGGGCCCAGCAAAUUUUAAACUGUUCAACUUUCCCGACUCAAACGACCUAGCUACAGGCACCUAAAAAUCUCCCAAAAAUACUCAUUUGAAAGAUAAAGUCACAAAGAACACAAUGCCACAGGAAUCAUUUGAAGAACUUCUCAAGUUUUCACACAAUUGUCAAAAGAAAAUAGCCAAAACUAAAAUUUAAAGGAAUUUUAACACAAGGAAAAAUCAUUGAAAAAUUAAGUAAAAAUAUUAUAAAGUUAUCAAAUUGCAUCUAGUAUUUAAAUAAAAUAAUAGGAGGCACAUUUGCAUAGCAAAAAUUGGAGUUGCUUCACAAGUUUGAAUUUUAACAAUAAACAACAAUUAUAUGAACUUAAACAAUGCAUGGCCAAGAUGCUUAAUUAUUCACAAAUGACGCUCAUGAUACUCAAUUAUGCACAAAUGAAGCUCAUGAUUCUCAAUUAUGCACAAAUGAUGCUCGUGAUGCGCGGCGUGCAAAGGUGCCAUCUUCAACGCGAAUUUUCUCACAAAUUUGAACUACGCGUUUGAAUUUCCAAAAAUAAAAGUUGGAGUUCAAAGUAUAUGCUAUAACUUUUAUAAAAGCCGACAUAUGAAAAACUUGAUGGAUUUGGAGAUAAACUUGGGAGAAGUUUGGUGGAACGUCGGCCAAAACUGGAUUUGAAAAUAAUUUGAUUUUCAGCCAAAUUUCUACUCAAUUUUUGAACACAUUCCACUCAAAAUCAAGAAAAGUGCAAAUUAUGAAAGUUGCUCUAUUUGAAAAGAUCUAUCCUUUUUAUAUUGGCCAAAAUUUGAGUUCUUAUAUAAAAUUUGUUUUUAUUUGCUUCCCAAGUGCAACACUACAAAGGUGUUUAAUCUCAAUUUCUCUUGAUUUAAUCUCAAUUUCUCUUGAUUUGGCUCCUAAUUACUUGGGAUGUCACAAAAUGAAGGCUAAUUUGCGAGAUGAAUCUAUUAAAUCUAUUCAGUCCAUGAUUUGACCAUGUGGUGUUACAGUAAAUAUGUGCUAAUCAUGGAUUAAUUAGGCUUAAUAGAUUCGUCUCACGAAUUAGCCACAGCUUAUACAAUUAUUUUUAUAAUUAGUUCACGCUUAGUCCUUCUAGUUGGUAUCCAAACAUUCGAUAUGACCCAAACUAAAAAUUAGUCCAUGGAUCCAAACACCCCCUUAGUUUGUGUUGCGCUUACCCGACCUGAUCCUGUUGAUUGAGCAGAGCCGCGAGUCUUAAUUCCUCUAUCCAACACCACUCCUUGGAAGCACUGAGCAACAACGGCCCAAGCUCCGUCCAUCCGCCGAGGCUGACCAACCGCCUGCUGCCCUUGACUAGGAGUCGGACUCCUCCUUUGAUGGCUCCUGUUGGAUGGCGGAUGCGCCAGACCAUGCAGAAGGUGAUAGAGUCCAAGGCGUCGGAGGCGGAGAAGAAGAAGCAGAACAAGAAGGUGGCCGCAAGGACCGAGGCCCCGACUACAGCAUUUGCCUCCGCGAUUAAGGCCUCGUCUAGGCUGGUGAGCGACGACUCCGACUCUUCUAGCCCUGCCGUGAAAAAGAAGAAGGCUGGGCUCCUUAAGACAAUAGCCGCCGACAUGGAAAAGGUCAUGGAGCGAUGGAAGACGGAAAUCCGCAGAGGAAAGCAGAAGGAGCCGACCCUACCACCGACAGUGCCUCUCCGCCCAAAGUUUCGAGUGAAGAAGAGCAUGAUGUGAGUGUCUUCAAAAUGUCGUUUGUUGUUGAAAGCUUGUUUGUAUGCUGCAUUGCUUUAUCUUUGUGUCCUGCCAUCUGAGCAGGAAGGCUGUGAUGGAGGACGAGCCAAACCCGCAGGAUGCUGGCAUUGAGACCCAUGCAGAGGGUCGGACAUCUGAUGCACCCUAGGGGUUGCAUUAGCAUUUGCUACUUAGGCCAGCGGUGAAAGUGGCCUAGUGAUGGAGCUUGAGAGGCCCAAGCAGCAGUCACACCUACUCCAAGACGUUGCUGAAGAUGCUGUAGUUGCCGUGCCCGGUGACACGGAUGCCAACGUUGAGGUCCAGAUGGAGGAAGACCCUAGGGAGGCACCAACGAAGAAGACGAUCCUUCCACACUGGACUUCUUCGGGAUGGUUCUGGCGUAGGAGGCUGCUGAGGAUAGGAGAGACCUUGCCGAGCUGAAGCACGCUUUCGGCAAGGUCGCGGAGUUGUUAUAUGUAAGUUAGCCAACCUGAUUUGAUGUUGAUCAUUGUUUCGGGUUUCCUUCUCUGAUUAGUUGGGAUUAUUCUUGCCCGGAACCUGGCCGAGCACGCGCACAAUAGGGGGAUGCCAUCUAUUGCGCCGAGGAGUAUCGACUCAAGGCUGAGCUAAGGAAGGCCAAGGAGGAAUGCCGCAAAGCAGAUAUGACAAAAAGAUCAGGAGAUUGCGGACCAAAAAUAGAUAACCAAGGAUGUCCAGAGCGACCUCGACACCAUGUUGAAUGGUAACGGCUUCGAUCCUUGUUAUGAGUCCAGAUCCUCUAGAUGCAACUAGUGCCUAUUCUUGAAUCUUAUUGCUUUGCAGAUGCCCAGAAGAAAGAAGAGAGCCUUAAGAGAGACCUCAAAGAGUGCAAAGCAGCCAGCUCCCAACUCCAGCAAGAUCAUGUUAUUGCCGUGCACCGUGAGUAUGACGUGUCACAAAAUCUUGCCUAUGAAGCCGACUUGUUACUAUUAGUUGUUUGAUUCCGAGGAAGAUCUCGAGACGAAGACCGUGUAGCAAUGCUUCAUACUCGGCUUCGUUGUUUGAGACUUCCCAAAAGAUUUGAAGUACGUAUUUGAGUUGGUCUCCUUUUGGAGAAAUUAAGAGUACUCCUGCGCCAGCUCCUUCGAGCUUGAGGGAACCAUCGAAGUACAUAACCCAGUGCUCUGGCCUCUCGACUGGUGUUGGUACUUGGUUUUCUGUCCAUUCAGCCAUGAAGUCGACCAAAGCCUGAGAUUUGAUAGCUAUUCUUGGUUUAAAGAGCUCCAAGCUCUACUGCCCAUUUGGAAAUUCUACCCGUGGCAUCUCUGUUGUGAAGGAUUUUGCCGAGCGGGAAGUCGGUGAUGAUUGAAAUGCUGUGUUCUUGAAAAUAAUAUCGCAGGUUCCGUGAGGUGAGCAGAAUUGCGUAGAACAACUUUUGGAUUGGCGGGUACCGAGUUUUGGAGUCUGAUAGUACUUCGCUGAUGAAGUAAACGGGUCUCUGAACUUUGUAAACGUGGCCUGGUUCAGACCGUUCAACUACUACUGCAGUGCUGAUGACGUGAGUAGUAGCCGCUAUGUAUAGGAGCAAGUCCUCAUUUGGGCAUGGAGCGGUGAGGAUUGGUGGUUUUGACAGAAAGUCUUUGAGUUGUGUCAAUGCUUUGUCUGCCUCUUCUGUCCAUUUAAACUUGUCCUGUCUUUUGAGAAGCUUGAAGAAGGGUAGUCCUCGUUCUCCAAGUCUCAAGAUGAAUCGAUUAAGGGCUGCCAUGCAGCCUGUGAUUUUCUGCACAUCCUUGAUGCUAGCUGGUGCUUACAUAUUUAUGAUGGCAGAUAUUUUCUCUAGGUUGGCCUCAAUGCCGUGAUGGCUAAUGAUGAACCCGAGUAGUUUGCCGGAAGGUACGCCAAGAACGCAUUUGGUAGGGUUAAGUUUCCAGCGGAAAGCUCAUAGGUUUAAGAAGGUUUCCUCCAAAUAGAUGAUUAGGUCCUCCUGUUUUCUUGUUUUGACGACUACGUCGUCCACGUAAGCUUCUAUGUUGCAGUGCAAUUAUUUCUCGAAGCACAUCUAUAUAGCGCGCUGGUAUGUUGCACCCGUGUUUUUUAAUCCAAAUGACAUUGUUUCGUAGCAAAAAGCCCCAAAUGGAGUGAUGAAGGCUGUUUUGGCUUGAUCUUCUUCUUUGAGGCUUAUCUGGUGGUAACCUGAGUAACAGUCAAGAAAGCAUAGUAAAUCGCACCUGGCAGUAGAGUCGACUACCUGGUCGAUCCUGGGUAGUCCAAAAGGGUCCUUUGGACAAUGUUUGUUGAGAUCCGUGUAAUCGACGCACAUUCUCCAUUCAUUGUUUUUCUUGCGAAUGAGUACAGGGUUGGCUAGCCAAUCAGGGUGAAAAACUUCUUUGAUGAACCCUGCUGCGAGUAGUUUGGCUAGCUCUUUUUUUAUUGCUUCUCAUUUGUCUUGGGCGAACCUUCGAAGGUGCUGUCAUUUUGGGGUAGCUCUAGGAUCAACAUUUAGAGAAUGCUCAAUCAGUUCCUUGGGCACACCAGGCAUGUCGGCUGGCUUCCAGGCAAAGAUAUUGUGGUUAGCCCGAAGAAAACUUAUGAGCGCGGUUUCCUAUUUAGGAUCUAGUCUUGUCCCAAUUAGAGCUGUCUUAGAAGGGUCACCAUUCUGGAGAUCAACCAUUUUGAAGUUUGUCUCAUUUGUUGGCUUUACUUUUGCUGGCCCCGACUUGUUUUCUGGGAUUUCAAGUUCUAUUGGAUAAAGUUUCUUUGAAACUAAAAAAACUUGUUGCAUAGGGCUAGGUCCUUAAGAAGUUGCUGCAAUUUCCACGGCUUCGGUGUCGCAUUCAUAAGAUCACCUUAGGUCUCCUCGUAGUGUUAAUUCUCCCUUGGGUCCUGGCAUCUUGAGUACCAAGUAAACAUAAUGUGGUACAGCCAUGAAUUUAGCCAAAGUUGGUCUCCCGAGUAUGGCAUGGUAAGAGGUCUCGAAGUCGACGACUUCAAAUCUGAUGUACUCGGUUUGGUAAUGUUCCUUGGUGCCGAAAGUUACUGGUAGGAUGACUUGUCCUAGCGGUAUGACUGCGUUUCCUGCUACAAUCCCGUAAAAGGGGGAGUCUAUUGGAGUGAGCAUGUCUGUGAUGUCAAGACACAUCUUUCUUAGUGUUUUGGCAAAAAUGACGUUGAGUCUGCUUCCGCCAUCAAUAAGUACUUUUGUUAGUCUUGAUCCUGCAACAACAAGGUCGAGUACUAGGGGAAAUCGGCCUGGUUCUGAGAAGUUUGUCCAUUGGUCCCUUCUGCUGAAGGUUAUGGGUACCGGAGACUAUUUUAGCGUUGUUGGAUCUGUUGAUUUGAUGGCCAUAAUCUCUCUGAGUACCAAUUUGCUAGAUCGCUUGGAUGCGGAACCUGGGAUUCUGCCAAAAAUUGCGUUGACUAUUUUGGAGGCGGUCUGGAAGUCUCCUUCUCCUUCUUCAUCCUUAUGGAUUUUGUUUUUGCCCUUAUCCUUUUUCUGGUUGUACUCUUCGGGAGGUGGUGGUGCAGGUAAAUCUUGCAUUACUCGGCGCAUGUUAUAGCAGUCUAUUGCUGAGUGUUUGCUAUUUGGGUGCCAUGGGCAUUAUUUUUUGAGUAGUUCGGUGAAGCUUGGUCCAUCAUCGUGUUUGUGGGAUCCCUUCUUUCCUGAGUUGGUCAUGGAAGCAACGGUGUUGUUAGGUUUGCGUUUGCAAUUUUGGUUACUCGAAUAGUUCUUUCGAGUAUCAUUGUUUCGGCCAAAUCGCUUGCAUUCUUUAUCUUCUUCAUCUGCCCAUUGUUGCACGAUGAUUUUGAGGUCUUUGACGGUGACUGGUCAUCGUCUGCCAAAAUCCUGGUAUGUUCGACGAUCAUAGAGGCCAUUUUAAAAGCUCUCGAUAACGUCUAUUUCUGAAAUGUCGACUAUAGUGGCCUUCUUUUCAAAGAAUCGCCAUAGGUAGUCGCGCAGUGUUUCGCCUUCCUUUUGUUUUACUUGACUUAGGUUGAUCUUGUUGCCUGGUCUAGUCAUGGAGCCCAUGUAGUUGUUGGUGAAGGCUUUUGUCAGAUCUUCCCAAGAGUCAAUUGUUUUAGGUUUGAGUGAUUCAAGCCAUGUUAGGCGCGUGGGUUCCAUGCAUAUGGGAAAAUGGAUGACUUUUGUGUCAUUAUUGCCUCCGGCUGCUUGGACUACCAACGAGUAGCAUCGGAGCCAUUGAAUUGGGUCUUGCUUGCCAUCAUACUUGGUGAUUCCUGUUGGCUUGAAUUUUUCGGGUAGUCUUGUUCUCAUUACCCGUGUUGUGAAGGCGUGAAAAUGGUUGUAGUUGUCGAUUUCACGUUCGCGGUGACUAUUGAUUAUUUCCCAUAGAUCGCUGAAAUUUGAUACUUCAUGAUUUUUCCUGAUAUGGCGAGGACUUUUUGCGGCAUUAGUGCAGCUGGCCUCUCCAACAUCCUUUGUCGUACUGGGGCUUCGCAUUUGCUCAGUCCUUGGCUAUGUUGCCUUGGUUGGUUGACCACCUCGUUGUUGUUUCGUUGUGCUUCGUGGAAGCCAUUGUUGACUGCGGCACCCCUACUGCCCUCUCGAUGGGCUGAGUUGCGAGGAACAUAUGGGAUUGGUGAUUCUUUAUCGAGUAGCUUGUAAGCUUGUUCUGCGAGUUGUGCAAUUAGUCCAUUGCCUCGCUGCGCAAGUUGAGCUGUUAUUUCGUUAUCUCUGUCUUGAGGUAUGAGAAUUAAUAUAAGGUUGAUUGAGGCAAUUGCUGGGAGUGGGGUGUUGUGCUCUUGAGCUUAUACUGCGUCAAAUGCUCUUUCAAGGUUUGUGAUGGGAAUGUUUGUGGCUAGCAACUGUCGACGUUUAGCUCGAGUAAUGUUUCGUAUCCUUCUUUGGUUUCAUUGAUCGGAAGUUUCGUCCUGCGAAGCGUUAGCCGAUGACUCAUCCUCUGAAACGUUAUAGAGCUGCGCUAUCCGUCAAGGGGUUCUCUGUUGGCUAGUGCCCACAUUAUUAUUUUGAGUGAUGACAAAGAAUUCUCUAUCUCGGUAGUAGCUUCUGGAGCUUGAUGUUGCAAUUUCUGUAGUGCUCUCCUCGCGGCUUGAAGUGAGCAGGAUGCCUUCUUCGUACGGGAGGUUGUCUAUGUGAGCGACAAGGCACGACUCGUAGUCGCGGGUAAGGAGAGAUGGCCUCAUUCUUGGCCAGUGAACGAAUCUGCCCUGCGGCGUUGAAGUUACUACCAAACCUUAGGCUGGCCCUGAUAAUGGAAUUUCUUGGACGUAGUCCGAGUUGGAGUCACAGUCCUUGUCUUCCCCGUGUUCGAGUUGAGUUCGAGUGAGGAGACAUUGGUAGACUUCGGCUGUAUUGCGGAGUCCGUAUGGGAAUCGUUUUUGAGUUGAAGUUGACUUGUGAAGUGACUGGGGCUUCGGCUUGUGUCGACUAAUCCGAGCUGGGGUCGAGUCCGAAGCGUAGUCGAACUCGGUGUCGCUGACUUUGAAAAUUUGGCUUUUCUUGAAAAAAUCCCCCGUUUUUUGCUGAGGAAAGCUUCCGUCGAGAGGUUUCUUCUCCUGGAUGUGAAACGAUCCAGCGCCGUCGGCGAUGCAGAGCCAAGAUCCGAAAACAAAAGUUGCGCCUGCCUCGAAGGUGAAAACAGGCUUGAUAAUGACAGAUGCCAUCAAACUCGCGCGGAGAAACUCGGCGACUGCCCCUACCUAGCACGCCAGCUGUCGGUGUUUUAGACCAGCAACCCACCUAGGGGGUACCCUAGGUGGUCUUUUGUGCGGUGGGUGUAUUCGAGAAUCAAGGAGUCAAUGGUGACGCAAGGAACACGAUUUAGACAGGUUCGGGCCGCUAGAUGGCGUAAUACCCUACGUCCUGUGUGUUAAUUGUAUUGAACUUAGAUGAGUUGUCUUUGAGGGGGUCGUUGCCCGCCCUUAUAUGAUCGGGGGAGCAGGGUUACAGGCUAGAAUCCUAGUCGGAUACAGUUAUAGAAUUCCACUCGGUGUAUACAGAGUAGUUUCCAUAUGUAUGUUGACUAGUCUUUGGGAGUCCGAGUGGGCUAUGUUCCUUUGCCGCGUAGCCCCCGAGCCUUGAUUACGUCCGAGUAUGCCCCUUAGUGGGCCGCACAGGGCCUACUCGUGGGCCUGGGAUGUAUGCCCGACAGUUACCCAUGCUACUGGUCCUCGUAACGCUGGCUCACGGUCCGAGUCCGCGCCUAUUGCCGCACGCUCGCGGACACCACCCUCGGUGUUGCUAAAGGAAGAUACACUUGCGCUCUUUAGCUGCACCAUCUGCCAUCGCAGUCGGCUCAUCGUCCUGCUAAACUUGUUGGCAAGAAGCUGCUGAUUUGUAUAUUCAGGCGCCUUUGCUGACGCUUCGGACCCGUGUCCUCCUCCACGGCUUCGAUCAUGUCCACCUCGACCUCGGCUACUUUGGCACUAAGGGGCUACCAUCUGCUUGACAAGCCUCUUCGGCUCCCAUUCCAGCCACAACAUCUACGGCGCAUCGACGGUUGCGACUGCGGGGGGAUGUCAUCUCUUUGGCUUAUUCUUCAGUCUCAUCGUCUGCGCGUUUCCAUUGUGACUGCGGGGCAAUGUUAGAGUAUAUUAGGCAACUCCGGAUAUGGUUAGUUUAGGAUUGAUUGUAAUCCCAUGAUAACCUUCCUUAUCUCUAGGAGAUGCUACAUGCCCUCCAAGCCAUGUACUCCUAUAUAAUCAGCCCAAGGAGCUCAAGCAAUACAUCCCACGCAUUAUACACGAUCUUACAUGUAUUGAAAUUGGUAUUGUAGAGUAAUUAGCACAAUAAUAAUAUAAGGGUGAUAUGCAUAUGUGCUUAAGUGUUACUGAAAUGCUCGCGGUAGGGUGUUUGGAUGUGCUUGUAGUAGCAUACUAUUUGGAUAUAUUCAUGGUAGAGAGAAUGUUUGGAUGUGCUUGUAGUAGCAUAUCAUUUAGAUAUACUCAUGGUAGCGUACAUGAUUUUGAGAUGGAUACUAGAAAUAGCAAAGCCACGCCUUUUGGGGAUUGGGCUUUGGAAGAACUUUUGCUUGCCUUGUCAAAAAUUCAUAAUUCAAACUUUGAUAAACCUGAAUGACCUAGCUAGAGAAAUGGAACGCUUCUGGUUCGUGUGCCUGAAAAAAGAAAACAUAUCCUCCUGCGUUGCAAGAUUAUAACAUCGAGACCGUGGACUUGAUCUGAAUUUUUCAUGCUAUGUAGAUGGUUAUUCACUUAGAUGUAUUGUAAAAUAGCAUGUUUUUGGCAUAUUCAGACAUAUGAGCACUGUGUAUUGUAAGAAUCCAAGGGAAACAGAUUUACACACCAAUUGAUGUGCAUUAAAUAGACGUAGAAGCCAGCUUUUCUUCUGUUGCCAUAUUUUUUUUUGUUUUGAUAAAAGACUUCAUUCAAGCUUAAAAGCAAUGUACAUGGAGAAAGGUCAGAUGACCCCAAGUUACAGAUUGGAUCGCUGCAAGAACAGCACACAUUCAGUGAAGAUUGGUACACACAGAAUCUAAGUGGCCAAUCAGAAGAAAGACUUCUAGCUGAAACUGCUAAUUGAUGAGCUGCCUCAUUCUGAACUCUAGAGAUUUUAGAGCAACUCCAAGAGUUUCUCUAAAUUUUUUUCCUCAAAAUUAUGUAUUGGGAGCUUUUCUAAUUUUUUUCCCUAAAAUCAUGUUAUCCCACCGCAGAUCUCCAACAAUAACCUUCCUAAUAUUUCAAAACAGGCCACGUCAGCACGAUUGGGCCCAUCAGGGCUGGCCUCACCUUCCACCUCACGAUCUGUUUCUCCUGUCGCCCCUUCUAGCGCCGCCACCACUCAUCCACCCUUCCAUCCCUGCAAAUUUGCUGCUGCGUUCUACAAUCAUAAUUGGAGAUAGGUAAAAUGGAUUCGUUAUGAGUCGAUAAAGCUUUUCCAUUAAACGGGUGCUGAAUUUAUCAUCAGAUAAUGAUGAUAAUGACGGAUUCUUCUUCUCCGUUGUGGGAAAGGAGUACAUGGGGGAGCGAUUGGGGAAGAGCGGAGUCACGGAAAUUUGCGGGGCGUCGGAGGAGUUAUUCGCGUCGCUGAAUUUUUGCGGGGAGCACAGGGGAGCUAUUGGAGGCUCAAUUUUAAUGUUUUUCUCCCUAAUUAAGGUCUUGGGAAUAAUAAAAGGGAGCUUUUUGGAGUUGCUCUUGAUCACUUGCAAAGCAUCCAGUAAGGCAAGUUCCUGAAAAUGAGAGAUCCAUGGACGAAGUUUCAAUGGAGAAUCUAAAGGCGACUUGUGCAGAUGUGUGAUUGCCUUGUUCUUCUGUUGCCAUAUUGGUCUUGGUCACACACUGAACCACCAACGUUGCUGGGAAGAUGAUAUCUAUUCACGGGGGAAUGCAAAUGAGGGGAAAAAAAAAGAGGGUCAACGAUAUUAAAAUCUCGACCGGUGAGGGAAAGACUGCCUCCAUACGGUUACAUAAGAAGGACUUAACCGUAGCCCAUCCGACAAAGGUCACGAAAGCUGACCCCCCUCAUACAUGGAGAUGCCACCCCCUGUGGUUUGGGCCUUUACCCGUGCUUUGAGGCCCAACCUACGACCAUCCCCUUACACGUGGCUCGCCCACCACUACUAGAAAAAAGACCUUUCUUCCACUCCCUUAGUACCGAUCACAUUUUGACCCGGUACUAAUGUUAGCAUUAGUAUCGGGUCUAAAUUUAGGACCCCCGAAGGUCUUUUAGUACCAGGUCGUAACACCACCCGGUACUAAAGUGGUACUAAAAGGUAUAAAACUUUUGGUACCGGG